rnacentral:rRNA from 1 species
AUUGAACGCGGCGGCAUGCUUUACACAUGCAAGUCGGACGGCAGCAUAGAAGAGCUUGCUCUUAUGAUGCGAGUGGCGAACGGGUGAGUAAUGCAUCGGAACGUACCGAGUAGUGGGGGAUAACUGUCCGAAAGGAUGGCUAAUACCGCAUAUUCUCUGAGGAGGAAAGCAGGGGACCUUAGGGCCUUGCGCUAUUUGAGCGGCCGAUGUCUGAUAGCUAGUUGGUGGGGUAAGAGCCCACCAAGGCGACGAUCAGUAGCGGGUCUGAGAGGAUGAUCCGCCACACUGGGACUGAGACACGGCCCAGACUCCUACGGGAGGCAGCAGUGGGGAAUUUUGGACAAUGGGCGCAAGCCUGAUCCAGCCAUGCCGCGUGUAUGAAGAAGGCCUUCGGGUUGUAAAGUACUUUUGUCAGGGAAGAAAAGCCUGGGGAUAACACCCUCAGGUCAUGACGGUACCUGAAGAAUAAGCACCGGCUAACUACGUGCCAGCAGCCGCGGUAAUACGUAGGGUGCGAGCGUUAAUCGGAAUUACUGGGCGUAAAGCGAGCGCAGACGGUUAUUUAAGCAAGAUGUGAAAGCCCCGGGCUCAACCUGGGAACUGCGUUUUGAACUGGGUAACUAGAGUGUGUCAGAGGGGGGUAGAAUUCCACGUGUAGCAGUGAAAUGCGUAGAGAUGUGGAGGAAUACCGAUGGCGAAGGCAGCCCCCUGGGAUAACACUGACGUUCAUGCUCGAAAGCGUGGGUAGCAAACAGG